GUAAGAAGCUCCAGCUGCACAUAUACUAAAAAUAAAAUGCUACAGAGAAGAUUAGCAUGGCCCCUGCACAAGUAUGACACACAAAUUUGUGAAGCUUUCCAUAUUUUU